rnacentral:rRNA from 1 species
ACUCCUACGGGAGGCAGCAGUGGGGAAUAUUGCACAAUGGGGGAAACCCUGAUGCAGCCAUGCCGCGUGUGUGAAGAAGGCCUUCGGGUUGUAAAGCACUUUCAGUAGGGAGGAAGGUAGUGUAGUUAACACCUGCAUUAUUUGACGUUACCUACAGAAGAAGCACCGGCUAACUCCGUGCCAGCAGCCGCGGUAAUACGGAGGGUGCGAGCGUUAAUCGGAAUUACUGGGCGUAAAGCGCAUGCAGGCGGCCUGUUAAGUCAGAUGUGAAAGCCCGGGGUCUUAACCUCGGAAUUGCAUUUGAAACUGGCAGGCUAGAGUCUUGUAGAGGGGGUUAGAAUUUCAGGUGUAGCGGUGAAAUGCGUAGAGAUCUGAAGGAAUACCAGUGGCGAAGGCGGCCCCCUGGACAAAGACUGACGCUCAGAUGCGAAAGCGUGGGAGCAAACAGGAUUAGAUACCCCUGGUAGACUGUCA